ensembl:lncRNA
AGGAUAGUUUUGUGGAAUCGGUUUUCUCCUUUUACUUUUCUAUUGGUCUGGGAUCAAACUGAGGUCAUUAGGUUUGUAUAGCCUUUAUUCUCUGGGCCAUCUCACUGGUCCUAUUUACAUUUUUAAUCCAUGUGUCCUGCCUAAAAUUUCAAAUCCCAAUUUUAAUAGUAUGCAUCCUUUAACCUAAAUUGGGAUUCAACAGGCUGGGUUUGUUCACAUCAGUAUUUGAGUAUGGGCUUCACUUCAGAUUUAUUCUGAAUCAAAUCCCCAUCUAUGCUAAGGACCAUGUGGUGGGUGGGGCAAACCCAGGCCACCAACCUGGCUCUGCAUCUUACUACCUGUUGCUUUUGUCUGGCUCAAACUGAACCAGUAAUUUAAUUUGAAACCCAAGGUGACCCAAAUCAUUUGGCCUUUUUAGUUUAUAGAAACUAGAUAAAAUGUUUCCAGAAUAUUUUUUUUUUAAAACGAGGCAGCACGGUCCAUUUGUUACAGACCUAUUGUUUUAUUUAAAAGGGAACUUUUAGUGCUGUACAACUGCCAAAUGAGAAUAGUCUGAGUUUCGUUGGCAAGAGAAUAAUGGUGCAAGCAAGAAUCUCACUGAUGUGAAAGCUGUGUGGUGUAUUUUUGACAUGUCUCUUUUUUAGAAUGUGCAGAGAAGGGGUUGUUUAAUUCAUUCUAUAGUUGGUAAAGGAAAAUUUCAAAGCAAAACUCAGGAUUUUUAGCUUGCUUUAUAAUUUGAAGAAAAAUAUCUUCAAAUGGAAUGAUGUCAAUGGAAAGAUAAAAUGUAGGCUUGACUCUGAAGGAACAAAUCACAGUUUGCUUCAUUUCAGGAAUGAGAAGAAUCCCUUGCACUUAGUUGACUGUUUUGUGAAGGACAGUUUUAAAAAUAACUUACAUCCAAUGGCAGUUUGACUCGCGUCUUGGCUCUUCAGUAAAGUCAGACACUAUUGCACUGGAUGUCUAGCCCACUUCUCAUGUUCAAAUGUUUUAUUUUUAGGAUGUCUUGAAAUAGAUUGAACCACUAAUGCUUGUAACCCAUAGCAAUAUCAAGAAAGCUAUGUCUAAUAAAUACACAAGUACAGUGUCAGUACCAACAUUGCAAAAUAAAUAAAUCUACCUUAAACAUCAACUCAGUCUGCUUUUGCUUUUAAAAAAUGAUGAGGCUUCUUAUUAAGACAUCACAACUCAGUAGAUACUAAUUUGUACAUCAUUCUAAAUUCAUUUUGUGAGAACUGAAAUUGGAACGAUCUGUGGGCAUAUGAAUAAUAGCUUUUGAAAAAAAAGAACAUUUCUGUUUGCAAAAAGGCAUCCUAAAGUAAGUGCACCAUGGUACACAUAUAGGAACUAAUUUGAGUAACUGUUAACAGACCUUACAGGACAUAUUUACAUUUCCAAAGCCCCCAGACUUCCACUUCUCAUUCAACCUAUGACCAGUUUUCAAGGUUUUCCAACCUCUGUGCCUCUGGUUCCCAGUUCUCCAAGUUGAGUCAGCAAGCUGGUCUUUGGGUCAAAUUCAUGUGUUUUUGUAUGACCCUGAAACUAAGAAUAGAUUUUACAAUUUUAAGUGGUUGGAACACUUGAAAGGUUUAUGAUAUGUGAAAAUGAUAUGAAAUUCCAAUUUACGUGUCCAUAAAUAAGAUUUUAUUGUUCAGUCAUGUUCAUUCUUGUACCUAUUUUGGCAGCUGCAUUUGCACUCCAGUGGCAGAGCUGAGCCAUGCCAACAGAAGCCAUACGGCCCGACUGUACAGCCUGUACUGCCUGGCCCUUUGCAGAUGAAGCUUGUUGCCUUAAGCUUAAGGCCUGGCUUUUCCACCUGUAACAUUGUGCGAUGCCCUGGGUGUCCCUGCUUCAUUCCUCAGGAAGUUGGUUGGCAGUCCUAUGUGUGCCAUUUUGCUUGUCCUCCUCUGCAUGUGCCUCACGUCAGAUGUGAAGAGAGCAGGAGUUCAGAAAUCACCAGUUUCCAGUUUAAAUGUGAUGGAAGUAAAGUACAUUUCUUUCUACCACGCUCAUUCUUCAGAGCAUCUCACCGAGGUCAGAGCAUCUCGCCAAGGAUCUUCACCU